UUCUCCUACGGGACGCAGCAGUGGGGAAUAUUGCACAAUGGGGGAAACCCUGAUGCAGCGACGCCGCGUGAGUGAAGAAGUAUUUCGGUAUGUAAAGCUCUAUCAGCAGGGAAGAAAAAAGACGGUACCUGACUAAGAAGCCCCGGCUAACUACGUGCCAGCAGCCGCGGUAAUACGUAGGGGGCAAGCGUUAUCCGGAUUUACUGGGUGUAAAGGGAGCGUAGACGGUGCGUCAAGUCUGAAGUGAAAGCCCGGGGCUUAACCCCGGGACUGCUUUGGCAACUGGCGCGCUA
rnacentral:rRNA from 1 species